CUACGGUGAAUACGUUCCCGGACCUUGUAUACACCGCCCGUCAAGCCAUGGAAGCUGGGUGUACCUAAAGUCGAUAACCGUAAGGAGUCGCCUAGGGUAAAACUAGUAACUGGGGCU
rnacentral:rRNA from 1 species